ensembl:lncRNA
AUGAAAGCUGCCAAUGUCCGUCAACCAUUGGUCGGUCUCAACCUCAUUUGGGAAAGACUGGAUGAACUUUAUGGUGCUCCAGAAGCCAUAGAGAAGGCUUUGUUCGCAAAACUGGACAACUUCCCAAGAAUAGGCAACUGCGAUAACCACAGACUUCGAGAACUUGGGGAUUUACUGUGCGAACUUGAAGCUGCUAAGGAAGAUGGUUAUCUCCAAGGAUUAGCCUAUCUGGACACAGCAAGGGGAGUGAGUCCCAUUGUAGAAAAAUUGCCCUUCCAUUUACAGGAUAAAUGGAUGACAUUUGGAUCAAAAUAUAAGGAAGAUCACAGGGUACAUUUCCCACCCUUUUCAGUCUUCUCUGAAUUUGUAAGGAGACAAGCCAGGGCAAGAAACGAUCCAAGUUUUUAUGUGACCAAUACAGUUGCACCCGCUCUGAAAAAGGAGAGAAUGGGGAAUCUCAAUUACAAGAAUCCUGUGUCUGUGCACAAGACAAGUGUGAGCAACAAGGAAACCACUACAGAUAGAGAGGGGAACCAAACAGAAGAUGUGAACACGCUAUGUCCCAUACAUAAAAAACCACACGCACUUAAGAAGUGCAGGAGCUUUCGAGCUAUGCUCUUGGAUGACAGGAAGAAAUUCCUCAGGGACAAGGGAGUGUGUUUUCGCUGCUGUGCUUCAGUCUCCCACCAGGCCAAGGACUGUGGUGCUUCAAUCAAAUGCGCAGAGUGCGGAAGUGAAUGUCAUGUGGCCGCACUGCACUUUGGUCCUGCUCCAAGAGAGUCAAAGGAGCUGAUCUCUUUCAAGGAGCAAAAAGGCUCCAAAGAGCAGAGCCCUUCCAAGGUUCAUGGCGGGGAGCCAGUCACCACACCCAAUGAUGAACAAAUCCUAGCGGCUAAACCACUGUGUACACAAGUUUGUGGUAAAGGCUUCGGAGAGAAGUCGUGCUUGAAAAUAUGUCUGGUUAACGUUUAUCCUGAAGGUCGUUCAGAGGAGGGUAAAAGGAUGUACGUGAUCUUAGAUGAUCAGAGUAACGUCUCAUUGGCCAAGACAGAAUUUUUUGACGCCUUUCAAAUACAAGGGCCACGAAUACCAUACAUCCUGACUACAUGUGCUGGAGUUGUCAAGGUGACCGGUAGAAGAGCUCAAGGUUACAUGGUUGAGCCACUCACAGGAGAGCUAAGUAUCGCCCUUCCAACUCUAAUAGAGUGUAAUAAAGUGCCAAACAGUCGAGCAGAAAUCCCAACCCCAGAAGCAGCAUACCACCACAGCCACAUGCAAGCUAUGGCUGACCAAAUACCUGCUCUCAAUGACACUGCAGACAUCUUGCUCCUGUUAGGGAGGGACAUUCUCCAGGUCCACAAGGUGCGUCGGCAGUAUAAUGGCCCAGACAACGCUCCAUUUGCCCAGAAGCACUAUCUUGGGUGGGUCAUUGUCGGUGACGUUUGCCUGGGUGGAGCCCACACCCCUACAGAAGUGAACACAUUUAAAACAUGCAUUAUGGACAAUGGCCGUCCCAGUUAUAUGCGUCCUUGUGAGAACCUUGUCAAAAUUAAGGAGGAUUUCAGCCAGACCCUUCAGCAGAACAGCUCUCUACCUUGGCCUCCUUCUCUGGAGCAGCAAGAGGACCUCCUUGGUGCAACAGUCUUCCAAAGGACUGAAAAAGACAAUCAGUUAGCACCUUCAAUCGACGAUUUGACCUUCCCACAGCUAAUGGACAAGGGGUUUGUUAAGGAUGAAAGUGGCAGCUGGGUGGCACCCUUGCCCUUUCGAAACCCAAGGAAGCCGCUCCCUAACAACAGGCAGCAGGCACACCAACGGCUUAUGUCAUUGCAGCGAGCUUUCCAGAAGAGACCCAGCAUGAAAGAAGACUUCCUGGAGUUCAUGCAAGGGAUUUUGGAUAGCAACCAUGCAGAGUUGGCACCACCACCAGAGGGAAGGGAGGUGUGGUACCUUCCUAUUUUUGGAGUCUACCACCCGCACAAACCCGGUAAAAUCAGGGUUGUUUUCGACUCAAGUGCUCGCUUCGAGGGUGUCUCACUGAAUGAGGUCUUGCUUCAGGGGCCCAAUCUCAACAACGGUCUUCUGGGAGUUCUUCUUAGGUUCAGGAAGGAACUGGUUGCCAUAACUGCAGAAAGUUUUAUUGCUUCCUGGUCCAGGAAGAGCAUCGAGAUGUUUUGCGCAUUUUGUGGUUCAAGGACAACAACCCUGAAAGUGAAGUGGUGGAUUACCGGAUGA